AGAGUUUGAUCCUGGCUCAGAUUGAACGCUGGCGGCAGGCCUAACACAUGCAAGUCGAGCGGUAACACAGGGAGCUUGCUCCUGGGUGACGAGCGGCGGACGGGUGAGUAAUGUCUGGGAAACUGCCUGAUGGAGGGGGAUAACUACUGGAAACGGUAGCUAAUACCGCAUAAUGUCGCAAGACCAAAGAGGGGGACCUUCGGGCCUCCUGCCAUCAGAUGUGCCCAGAUGGGAUUAGCUAGUAGGUGGGGUAAUGGCUCACCUAGGCGACGAUCCCUAGCUGGUCUGAGAGGAUGACCAGCCACACUGGAACUGAGACACGGUCCAGACUCCUACGGGAGGCAGCAGUGGGGAAUAUUGCACAAUGGGCGCAAGCCUGAUGCAGCCAUGCCGCGUGUAUGAAGAAGGCCUUCGGGUUGUAAAGUACUUUCAGCGAGGAGGAAGGCAUUAAGGUUAAUAACCUUGGUGAU
rnacentral:rRNA from 1 species